GGGUUGCUAACUCAACGGUAAAGUACUCGGCUUUAAAA
rnacentral:tRNA from 1 species